rnacentral:rRNA from 1 species
UACGUAGGGUGCAAGCGUUGUCCGGAAUUAUUGGGCGUAAAGAGCUCGUAGGCGGUCUGUCACGUCGGGAGUGAAAACCUGGGGCUUAACCCCGGGCCUGCUUUCGAUACUGGCAGACUAGAGUGCUGUAGGGGAGACUGGAAUUCCUGGUGUAGCGGUGAAAUGCGCAGAUAUCAGGAGGAACACCGGUGGCGAAGGCGGGUCUCUGGGCAGUAACUGACGCUGAGGAGCGAAAGCGUGGGGAGCGAACAGG